GGUUGUAAAGCCCUUUUGUUGGGAAAGAAAAGCAGUCGGUUAAUACCCGAUUGUUCUGACGGUACCCAAAGAAUAAGCACCGGCUAACUUCGUGCCAGCAGCCGCGGUAAUACGAAGGGUGCAAGCGUUACUCGGAAUUACUGGGCGUAAAGCGUGCGUAGGUGGUGGUUUAAGUCUGUUGUGAAAGCCCUGGGCUCAACCUGGGAAUUGCAGUGGAUACUGGGUCACUAGAGUGUGGUAGAGGGUAGCGGAAUUCCCGGUGUAGCAGUGAAAUGCGUAGAGAUCGGGAGGAACAUCCGUGGCGAAGGCGGCUACCUGGACCAACACUGACACUGAGGCACGAAAGCGUGGGGAGCAAACAGGAUUAGAUACCCUGGUAGUCCACGCCCUAAACGAUGCGAACUGGAUGUUGGGUGCAAUUUGGCACGCAGUAUCGAAGCUAACGCGUUAAGUUCGCCGCCUGGGGAGUACGGUCGCAAGACUGAAACUCAAAGGAAUUGACGGGGGCCCGCACAAGCGGUGGAGUAUGUGGUUUAAUUCGAUGCAACGCGAAGAACCUUACCUGGUCUUGACAUCCACGGAACUUUCCAG
rnacentral:rRNA from 1 species